CUCCUCACGCCUGCACUGCUUAGGAAAGUGGAAGAAGAAGUUUGAGGGAGGGACCUAUGGAAAAAGAAAGGUGUCACCAACACACCUGCUGAGCAUUACCCUCCUGAUGGCUUGUAGAGGGUUUGCUCGGGAGAGGCAGAGAGAGCAGUUAUUGGCGGGGCUGCUUAGGGAAGACAAGGAAUGUACAGUUCCCACUUCGGAUUGUGCAUUCGGGGGGGCCUUCUCUUUUGAGCCUCGCGAAGUGGGGAAUCCUAGCUGAGCGGAGCGGUGAUACAUAAGGAGCAAAAGCCUCCAAAUCCGUGCACCAGCAGAGCUCCGUAGAAACAGCCUACCCGACCUAUUGGGCUGAAGAUCAAAGCCAUCUUUUCUGAGCAUCUUUCCCUAUCCAAGUCCAAACAUUCAGAAUUCGUCAAAAAGUUCAACGGCCAGCCCAACCUCAGGCCCGAUCUGCUGCCCGUUUUCGUAUCAGCUGCCUCCCCAUCAUUUGUAGCCGGACCGAGCCUGGCCUGACACAUGUCAAGUGAUUGGGAUAAUUAUACUGACCUAUCAACGGGGGAUGUGAGGAACAACUCAAUAAAGCAGCAAAUGGUUGUUUAAAUGACGAUGCCGAAUUUUGAGGGACCCCAGAGAUGCCUGUCCAAUAGACACUGAGGAAAGUGGAAGAUGGAAGAGAUCGAGGCAGACAGAAACGCCAUCAACUUGCCUGGAUUUACGUGGCGAACCAGGGUCCUGGUGAUGGACGUGCCGGCGUAGGGCUGCGUGAUUCAUUGGCUUCCCCUCGGUUCCUGGAGCCCUAAGCCUGAAAAAUGGAGGGAGGAAGAAGCUUGUCAGGAUCCCUCUUCCUUUAUAUGGAAGAUCGUAUGUGCCCAACCAGCCCCACUAUGGUGAGCCUCAUGUGGGCUAUGUGAGCUAUGUCUGGUCCGAUUACAUUGUAUCUACCUCAGCGCUUGGCAUAUA